rnacentral:rRNA from 1 species
AUGCCGGAGAAGGGAACUGAGCUCGCACAGUUAGUACCACCCUCCGUGGACGCCACUUCAUCUUUCUCCAAUAACGGACCAAGGGACGGCAGCGACGACGCCCGCAUCCUCCGACUCUCGGAAAUCAUUGUCACCGAAAUGCGUGCUGCCGCCCUACCUCUCCCACCGGCACCACAGACGAUCUACCGUGUUCCGGAGCUACUCCUCGCCGCCGACAAGGGCGCGUACCAGCCGACGUUCAUGCCCCUCGGACCAUACCACCGCGGCGACUCCGACUCUGCCACGGAAGACAUGAGGCGCAGCCAAGCGGGCAAGCCACCGAACAUGGCCUUGGCCAUGGAAAUGGCCGGCGGUGGGCGGCCGGUGGCGGAAUUCAUCGAGGCCAUCGCGUCCAUGGAGUCGGAGGCCAGGAGCUGCUACGACGGCGACGUCGCCAUGGGAUGGGACGCCUUCUGCAUGAUGCUUUUGUUCGACGGCUUCCAGCUCAUCACAUUGCUCGGCUUUCUCGGCGUCUCCAAUGGCGAUGAGCCAACGGAAAAAACAGGCGGAGGCGACGCUGCUGGCGGCCCAACACCCAAGACAGGUCAUGUGACCAGUCUCCAACAUGACUUGAUGAUGCUGGAGAACCAGAUACCGUUCUUCGUCGUCCGGAAGAUGUACGCCUUGCUUCAUGCCGAUGCCGGAAGUGGCCCCAUUGUGAAGCUAGCGUGGGGAACCAUCAGCAAUAUCAUGGGUGGCCUCUGGCCGGCCUCAAAUCCUCCACCGCCAGAGUUCCAGCAUUUGGUGCAUCUCUGCCAUAUUUACCUCAAGCCAAGCAACCUCCAGGAGUCGCUAGGCCCAUGCGGCGACUAUGGAGGAAGAUUCCGACGUGCCACCGAGUAUUACGAAGCCGGCGUCAAGUUCAGGCGGCUUCACAAUGAACAAGCCCCCUUGCUGGACGUGAGCUUUCUGAACGGGGUGCUGAGGAUGGCUCGCCACAGGUUCGACGAGAAUACCAACUACAUCCUCCGCAACGUCCUCGCGUACGAGCAGAGCUACAUCCGGACGGCGACGAGCGGCUACGUGACGGCGUACGUGGUGUUCAUGUCGCAGCUCCUGGGCAGCCCCGAGGACGUGGCCCUGCUGUCGCGGCGCGGGGUCAUCGAGCACCACCUGGGCAACGACGCCGAGGUGUGCGACCUGUUCCGUCGCCUGGCGGAGGGGCUCGUCUUCGACCCGUCCAGCGAGCACUAUCUCAACGCCGUCGGGGUGAAGCUGGGGGAGCACUGCCGGUCCCGGCUCAACCGGUGGGGCGCCUGGGUCCUCAGGCACCGCCUUGCCAACCCCUGGCUCGCCGUCGCGUGGCUCUUCGGCGCCAUGGCCGUGCUGGGCACCAUCAUUCAGACCAUCAUUGCUGUCCUCGAAUAUGCCCAGCGCUAG